rnacentral:rRNA from 1 species
AUCUUCCGCAAUGGGCGAAAGCCUGACGGAGCAACGCCGCGUGAGUGAUGAAGGUCUUCGGAUCGUAAAACUCUGUUAUUAGGGAAGAACAUAUGUGUAAGUAACUGUGCACAUCUUGACGGUACCUAAUCAGAAAGCCACGGCUAACUACGUGCCAGCAGCCGCGGUAAUACGUAGGUGGCAAGCGUUAUCCGGAAUUAUUGGGCGUAAAGCGCGCGUAGGCGGUUUUUUAAGUCUGAUGUGAAAGCCCACGGCUCAACCGUGGAGGGUCAUUGGAAACUGGAAAACUUGAGUGCAGAAGAGGAAAGUGGAAUUCCAUGUGUAGCGGUGAAAUGCGCAGAGAUAUGGAGGAACACCAGUGGCGAAGGCGACUUUCUGGUCUGUAACUGACGCUGAUGUGCGAAAGCGUGGGGAUCAAACAGGAUUAGAUACCCUGG